GAAAAGUAUGGAGGAAAAACCAAAAAUGUUCCAUAGCCGCCGUUGAAAUUUACAAUAGAGAAUUGAAAUAUAAUCAUGUUGUUUGGCUGCUACUGUUAUUACACAAGAAUCCACUUGUGCCUCACCCCAGACCUCUCCUCCUCAUGACACAGGAGCCAGCAAAGGCCUCCUCUCACUGGAUGAAGCUCGUGAGUAUGAGGAGCAGUCAAGCCGUCAAGGUGGAAAAGAGCAAGAACAUGCUCAACACUUUAAGUUUCUUUCAGUGGCCUUUACCUCUUGGUGUCUCAGUUCACAUCGUGAUUUUCAUUGCUCGUGGCGGAUCCGCACCAAAGCUGAGAGAAUCCAGUCUGCCUGCUGCUUUGUUAGGAAUCUGUGAUGUCACCAAUGGAGACAGGAGAGGAGAUACCACAGCAUUUGAAGCAAGUGGGAAGCAACCUACAAAGAUCAGGACUUCCAGAAGCCCAUGGAAAGGCUGAGAUGCCAGUCAAUGAGGAAUGUUCUAUCCUGGGAGGCAGACCCUUAUGACAUCAGACCAACAUCUGUUAUUCUACUGUCAAUAUUUGAGAAAAUUAAGUGGACAACUGCAUAAUUUUUCCCCUGCUCUGAGUGCUCUGGGACCCACCCGAUCAUCAUUCAGCUUUCAAGUCACGUCAUUCCCUUCUCCUUCUGCCCCACCUCUGGACAAGCUGAUAAGAAAGCCUGUGUGCUUCUUCCUUUGGCGCCAGCAGGAAGCUCAAAUCAUGCAAGCCCCAGAACACAUGAGGGAACAUAGAGAUCCAAGCCACUCACUCCUCUUUGCUCACUCAAGCCAUUUUGGGACCUGCUUGGGAGUUUGCCUUGCUCUCCCUGGAAAGUUUCAUUAUGGGCCUACACAACAGGGACUCAUGACUCCUUCAAAAGAGCAUUUCUCUUCUUUAAAACCUCCAUCCAGUCUUCUUCCUGAACAGAUAAUAACUCAAGGAGAAAGACUUGGGGCAUCACAGCUCUCUCAGUAACAACCGUAGUCAUGCCAGUAAAGCUUCCAUCACAAACACAUAGGAUAUGUUGUGGUAUCCAAGGAAAUUCUGAACUAUUUAUGAGAAGGCCAAGAAAUACAGGUGGCUCACAUUUCCCUUAAACUUGGUUCGAUGCAAAGAAAAGAAUGUCCAGCCUUCUACAAUCUAGAAGCUACUUGAACAAUAUUUGUACCAAUGCCUUUCUCAAAAUCUUCCUAACAAUGUCUAAAACCAGGUUCUGUUCUUUUUAUUAGACAACUUGCUCAAUAAAGCCAGGUGAAUCUAUAGACUUCUGCACAUAACGGUCUGGGAGCUGGGUGCUGCAGAUUAGAAAAGCAAAAGACUGUCUUAAGAAAUGCUUUGGAUCACAUCCUUGGACUUCUUCAAAUAUUUUUGAGAACCAUAUUAAAGCUUGACUUGCCUGUUUGUGCUGUGCUUCUGUAAAUGUGACACUGCUUGGGGACUGGACCUCAUGGGCGUAGCUUUAUAAAUACUGUGUCAGCUCCAAACUCUAACUUCUACAGCACUUUGUCAGUUUCUCUGUUACAACCUCAGCUGCCAUUCACUAAAAAGCUAAUAUACAUACACAACACUCAAGACAUUCUUGGGUGUCCAGGCUUUUCCCCACCUCACUGAACACUCUUCAUAUGUCUCGUUCCCUUUAAUUAAGUGCAAUUCCCUUCAUUCUCUUUGCUCACUCAUAACUCCUACAAACGGCCUCACAUGUCUGAAAUAAUUCCCAUUCUGCUACCCUCCUCCACCUUCCUCACCUUUAAAUGCUCCAUGUAUUUGGAUAGUCUGAAAAAUCUCAAAAUUUCUGAAGUCUCCUAAGCGGAGUUUUAUAUCCAGAUCUAUUAGUUUGGUACUCUCAAACAUACAUAUUUUCAUCCUAUCGCAUACUUUUUCUAACUGUGUAAAAUUGAUCUUAGCAGCAUCUAAAUCUGGCAAUGGCAGACUAUCCAUUAUUGAUGCUAAAUAAAUCUUCAUUCAUGAUAGUGGAAGCUAACAAGGCUGUUAUCUGAGAUAAGGCUGUGCAAUUCACCAGCAAUGGCACCUGAGCAACAUGUCACUAAGCUCC
rnacentral:lncRNA from 1 species